rnacentral:rRNA from 1 species
UACGGGGGGGGCAAGCGUUGUUCGGAAUUACUGGGCGUAAAGGGCUCGUAGGCGGCCAACUAAGUCAGACGUGAAAUCCCUCGGCUUAACCGGGGAACUGCAUCUGAUACUGGAUGGCUUGAGUUCGGGAGAGGGAUGCGGAAUUCCAGGUGUAGCGGUGAAAUGCGUAGAUAUCAGGAGGAACACCAAUGGCGAAGGCAGCACUCUGGGACGUGACUGACGCUGAGACGCGAAAGCGUGGGGAGCAAACGGG